rnacentral:lncRNA from 1 species
CCUCUAGCUUUAUUGUCGUCACAUUCAGUUGGUUCUGAUGUUCCUUUUACCAAUACAGUACGCAAUAAACCAAAAAACAAAUCAGUUUCACUUUCAAAUAUCAUGAUAUGGAUGGUGUGGUUGAUUUCCUAAUAUUAGAGAGUGUUUAUAAGACCAGUAUACAGACCCAGUGGAGCAAUGGAUCAAUAUUCAAGAGCCUCAUUGACAAUCAGUACUACACUAGAACAGUAUAAGUACUAACAUCAUCAGCCUAUAGUGUCCUAUUGAUGAGUCUCUUAAGGUUAAUGACAUGCAUAUUCAUAAUCCAUUGGGGCGCUACGUAAGCUAUUCAUAAAGCAGAAAAGGUUACUAAAGCUAUCUUACCUGUUGAUGGUUGAUAAAUGCUAUAACUAAAAGGUAACCUCAGACACUAAUACUGCAUGAGGUAAAGACAUUCUCAACAAGACACCUCAAAAUAGUGAUCUCUUUAGAUUAUGACAUUCCCGAGCUCAUACUAGUGUUCCAGAGAUGGAUAGACUCCAAUAAAGGAGUGACCUGGAGGAAAGUACUUCAAGUUUGUGAUGACUAUCCUGGUAAGUUUGGAGAAGUAAAAGCUGAAGUAGAAGGAUUCCUAUUAUCAGACAGAGCCUGUGAUAAUUAUUAAGAAUAUUAUUGUAUUUUUUUCUAGUGACUGCAUAUUAGUGUACUAGUUUAUUUAAUCCUUUGUAAUUUGUGAUUUUAAUUUUAACUUCAGUUUUUUCAAAUUAGCUGUAA